AUCUUUGCGCAGUGGCAGUAUCGUAGCCUAUGAAGUUUAUCUGAGGCGUGAUUAUUGCUAGUUGAAAACUUUACCCAAUACCCCGCCAAGAUGAUUGUUUAUAUGAUCAGCUUGUGCAAUUUUUGACGGUCUCUGGGUAGA
ensembl:snRNA U4 U4 spliceosomal RNA